CGGACAGUUAUUUAUAGCAUAUCAUCCUUUUCACAAAAUGACACUACCCAGGCUGCAGGCUGAAGUACAUUUAAGUGAAAAUUCCAGAACAGAUGGAACACAUCUUUUCCCACUUCAGAGCGCGAGGGGGGACGAGGAGAAGCAUCCUCUGUGUCUCAGGAAGCUGCGUCAUUAGUUCGGGGUCAGGAUAAAGGGGAAGGAUGAACGCAUUUGUGUGUCAGGCUGCAGGGCACCCGCACGUGGAGAGAGUCUGCAGGCCCUCAGUCAAUCACACCGAUGUGAAAGCGAGGAUGGAAGGGGAGGGAAAUUACAUUUACCUGUGUCCUGGCUGCAGCCACGAUGGGUGCUGGGGAAAGUCAGGAGGACUCGGGAUGAGAAAGAGGCAGUAACUCCCGGUGUGUUCUGUCUGGGGGACCCAAGAAUGUCUGCACCAUCACUUCUCGGUUCUCGCUGGAUGUAGCGUGGGGCUCACUGGGGUCACACACCCUACGGGAUUUUGAAGUUUCAAAGACCUCUGGGUUUUAUUUGUCUCCUGACCUGCCCGUGUUCAUCCAGGUGUUAAUCUGCCACCAUGCCCUGCCUUGCAGCGCAGGGAAGACCGCAAGGCCGCAGCACCCUACGCCCCGGACGACCCGCCGCACAGGUGUGAGGCCAUCGCACCGCGAGGGAACGGUCACUAGGUGUCGCCGUCUUCCUCGGAAUGGAAGCCACGUUUCUCCUGCACCGUUGAAAUGGACUGGAACAAAAUUUUCUAGACUUCAAGGAAACCAUCCUUUCUAAUAACAAUGAGAUGGUAAUUAGUAGGGGAAGUGGCAUAAAAUUAUUUCACCAUUUAGUGAAACCAUGAUUCUAAACUACAGAAAAAACUGUCUUUUUUAAAGCUCAUUCAGCCGGGUGCAAACCGCCUUGCUGGCGGGCGGCACCUGAAGGUGACCUGGCCUUGUCCCCCCCUCCAUCCCCCCAGUUUCCUCUCUGUGGUGAACGUGGUUGGGGUUCACGUCUCACCCCCCAUGCAGACCCCAGCAGAUCCUGAGGGCAGCGUGUGGACCAUGUCCGAAGGGUCCAGAGGAAGAUCCCACAUGUGUAGAAUACAGACCCAUGGCCCCUGGGAGAGUGAAGGACACGCAGAUGAUUGGCAGCGGCCACUUCUCACACAAGCAACCCCUCUCUGUUUUACUGAUGAGAAAACAGAGGCUUAGAGCGAUUGUGUAACUUUCCCACAGCCAAGUUCAAACUCAAAGUGGGUUUCAAAAUUUAGGUUUGUCCGGCUCCGAGACCCGUGUUCUCUGCAGGGCACUUAGAGGACUCCUGUGCUGACCUCUCAGGCAGCCUUCUACGAAGGGACGCGGAGAAUAACAGGAAGGAUUUCCAUUUCCUUUUUCUAGGAAAAAAACAAAAGGCAAGAGGUAGGAAUUCAGAGCUAGAGUCGCUUUACAAUUCGGUUCCAUUGUCGAGACGGAGAGAUUCCACGACCAUGACAGAAAGUGAGACUAUUUAGGAUUUGCCAAAUAGGAUGUUUUCUGAACCAAUCAACAUAGAACGGAAAUGAGUUGGGACAAAUGGCAGUGCAGUGAGAGGAAAGGUGAGUCUUCCAGCAGCCCUGCCUCCCUCAUCCUGGGAGGAAACGUCCGCAGAAGCCGGGCUCCCCUGUGCCUUCCCCAGCCCUGCCUCCAGGAAGCUCUCUGAGCAUUUCCUACAGACCCUGCCCCAUGCUCUUCUCCUGCCGGUUUUCUCCACGUGGUUUUCUCCAUGUGCAGAAACGAUGAUUCGGGUCUGGCACAGUGGUUCAUGCCUGUAAUCCCAGCACUUUGGGAGGCCAAGGCAGGUGGAUCACCUGAGGUCGAGAGUUCGAGACCAGCCUGACCAACAUGGAGAAACCCGUCUCUACUAAAAAUACAAAAUUAGCCGGGCGUGGUGGUGCAUGCCUGUAAUCCCAGCUACUUGGGAGGCUUGAGGCAGGAGAAUCGCUUGAACCCGGGAGGCAGAGGUUGUGGUGAGCUGAGAUGGCACCACUGCACUCCAGCCUGAAUAACAAGAGAGAAACUCUGUCUCAAGAAAAAAAAGAUGAUUCGGAGCUGCCUGGAACAUGGAACAGCCCAGCGAGUCGCUGGCUGCAGUUCUCAGACCCAGGCUCUGCCGAUCUCAUCCCAGGCUGGAAGAGUUGCCACCAAGGCGUGUGGGUGCCAUUUGCUGCAAAAGUUCUUAUGGAGAACCAUGACACAUAACCGUGCCAGCUUCUCAUGCCGGGAGACCGCAGCGCCUCUCCACACAAGUGGGGCCUUCCUUCUGCACUUUUAUUCUGCAGUUGGGCUCCCGCUCCAGGGGGCUCCGUGUUUCUAAGAACCACAGCCCAGCAUCAUUAAAGAAGGCAUUAUUUUGUGUUUAGUAGAGCACUAAAUUGGUGAAAUAUAGUUGUGAUUCUGGUAGUGAAUAUCCCUGUUGCCACGGUAACGAUAUUAUGUCAUGGGAGGCUGUCUCGAGUGCUCCUGGGAGCAGCCAGGUCUCCGUGAGCUCCUGUUUACUCUAAAGACUCCGGCAGCCCACAUGUGUGCACGCUGAAUAAAAUCGUGCUGCGGGACCACAGUGCGGGGAGGCACCGACUCUGUCAUUCUGUCAACGCACCGCACAGUCACGAACAUCAGCAUUGACAUGAAAUGGACGGUUAGGGAGCUGCAAAGGACUCAUGCUCCUCUAUUGCACGAAUUUGUCUUUUCAUAUUCAAAGUACUUGUAAGAGCUCCAAGUUCCACGUACUCAGCCACUAACCUCAGGCAUCUGCACGGGAGACUUGGUACACAGGCUCACAUGCAUGCACGCACACAGGCACACGUACAAGCGCCCGUGUACACACAACAGUGUACACAUGCGACACACAUUCACACACAUGUGCAGAUGCACACACACAGAUCAGUGUGAGGAAGAGUCAGGGGUUCAUGGAACAGCCCCUGCUCUGCAAGCCAUGUCUGGCCGUGUAGGGGAAAGAGACAAAACAACACGCUGGUUACCUUGGAAGAGGAAAGAAAGGGAGAGACCUGCAGGUGUUGGGCGCGACACAACCCAGAGCCACCCUCGUCAAGGGACCCUCUCCCUGCUCGAUGCAUUCCUCCCACCCGACAUUCAGUGAACACAGGGAGGCUUAGUGUGAAGGACACCUGCAGUGUGUGUGUCUGUGUGUGUGAAUGUGUGUGUGUCUGUGCACAUGUGUGGUGUGUCUGUGUAAGUGUA
rnacentral:lncRNA from 1 species